rnacentral:rRNA from 1 species
AUACGUAGGGGGCGAGCGUUGUCCGGAAUGAUUGGGCGUAAAGGGCGCGUAGGCGGCUUUGCAAGUCAGUAGUGGAAGUCCAUUUUUCAAGGAUGGAAGUGCUACAGAAACUGCGGAGCUUGAGUGCAGGAGAGGUUAUCGGAAUUCCCGGUGUAGCGGUGAAAUGCGUAGAGAUCGGGAGGAACACCAGUGGCGAAGGCGGGUAACUGGACUGCAACUGACGCUGAGGCGCGAAAGUGUGGGGAGCAAACAGGAUUAGAUACCCUGGUAGUCCACACUGUAAACGAUGAAUGCUAGGUGUAGGAGGUAUCGACCCCUUCUGUGCCGCAGUAAACACAGUAAGCAUUCCGCCUGGGGAGUACGGUCGCAAGAAUGAAACUCAAAUGAAUUGACGGGG